rnacentral:rRNA from 1 species
UACGAAGGGUGCAAGCGUUACUCGGAAUUACUGGGCGUAAAGGGUGCGUAGGUGGUUGUUUAAGUCUGUUGUGAAAGCCCCGGGCUCAACCUGGGAAUGGCAAUGGAUACUGGACAGCUAGAGUGCGGUAGAGGGUAGUGGAAUUCCCGGUGUAGCAGUGAAAUGCGUAGAGAUCGGGAGGAACACCAGUGGCGAAGGCGGCUACCUGGACCAGCACUGACACUGAGGCACGAAAGCGUGGGGAGCAAACAGG